ACCACCUGUUUACUUCUCCCCGUCCCUCUUAAUUUACCGGUAAUUAAGUGACCCUAUAAAUUAACAACAAGACACAAUCUGGGCAUGCGUCAUUUCAUGGUACCUGUUGCGUUAAGCUCAAGUCCACCUGUUCGUCGUGUGUUCAAGCCUGUUUGGUUUGGGUUGUCAGCUAUUACUCCGUCUCCUGUUCACUCAAACGGAUUACACGUUCGCUGCGUGCCACAAACAGCUAGCGGACACAGAGUAGCUGCUGCCUGUUUCCUCCUGCUUCUCAUGCCCUUGGAUGCCUGGAAUUGGCCUGGGUGGGUUGACGCCGCUGCUGUUUUGCUUUUAGUGAUUGUAUCGUUUGAUGUUCGUCUUCCUUCACGUCUCGCCCCCCUUCCAGGCAGCUGCUGUCUGAAAGAGCUGCUCCUGCGUGUGUGUGUUUGCGUGUGUGUGUUAAUGGUUGUUUCGUAUUUCUUUUCUGUUUAUUUGUAGCCAUCUUUAGGUGGCUACUGUUGGUUUGGUUCUGUUUGUUUUGUAUUCAAUGUGUUGUUGUCUGUACUGGGUGCCGCAGGGCUAGGUAGUCCAUCAUUCCCCACCGUAGUGGUGGUAGCAU